AGAUCAAACAGAAGGGACUGC
rnacentral:miRNA from 12 species